AGUUUCCGCAGUCGAUGAUGGCGUUGUAGGAGGCGUUUACCGAGCCGAAGUAGUACUGGGUCUGUUUCAUGACGCAGCUGCUCUCGCGCGUCUCGGGGCUCCCCUCGGCCUCCGCGGGGUCUGCGAGGGCCCAGAGCGCCUCAGCUCCGCCCACAGACCCUGGCAAGGUCUCCGGCCUCCCUCAGUCGUAGACCCCACCCUCCCCAUGGAGUCGUCUUAGCUCAGAUUGGGGACCCGGACUUGAGGAGGCGCCUCCAAAGCCCUACCUACCUGCUUGGAACCAGCUGUGGUAGAUGAGGCCGUAGAGAAGCUGCUGGAACAGGGACCUGCAGCGCACGGGGAGCCGAGUGCAGCACCAGGAAUCCUCCAUCAUCAAUGAGGACACAGAGCUGCGGCGGUAGAAGCUGGCAUUGAAGGGCUCAGGGUUCUCUGUCCAGUCCUCAGCUGCCCUGGAGCACCCAAGAGGCAGACUGGUAGGUAAGGGGUGGCUUGUCGGGGACAGUGGUCUCCACAGAUGCAAGGAGGCCUCUGGGCAGAACAGAUGCAGGUUCCCUGGCAGGGGCAGGGUUUGGGUAGUGGGAUAGGUCACUUACUUGUUGGGGAAGACUCGGGUGAUGCCACCGUCUGUGGCAGCGAACACGGCCAG
rnacentral:lncRNA from 1 species